AAAAAGCUCGUAGUCGAAAUUGUGUCCUCGGCCGCCGGUUCGUCGCUCGCGACGCCAACUGGCGCGCACGCUGGACGUCCAGCCGGUACAACGAACUCGCCUACGGGGUGCUCUUAACCGAGUGUCCAGGCGGGGGCCGGCAACGUUACUUUGAACAAAUUAAAGUGCUUAAAGCAGGCUAAAUUCCGCUCGCAUACACGCGCAUGGAAUAAAUGAAUAGGACCUCCGUUCUAUUUUGUUGGGUUUUUGUGGAACGACAGACGGAGGUAAUGAUCAAUGGGUGCGGAUGGGGGCAUUCGUAUUGCGACGUUAGAGGUGAAAUUCUUGGAUCGUCGCAAGACGGACUUGAGCGAAAGCAUUUGCCAAAAACGCUUUCAUCGAUCAAGAACGAAAGUUAGAGGUUCGAAGGCGAUCAGAUACCGCCCUAGUUCUAACCAUAAACGAUGCCAGCUAGCGAUCCGCCGAAGUUACUCCUAUGACUCGGCGGGCAGCUUCCGGGAAACCAAAGCUUUCGGGUUCCGGGGGAAGUAUGGUUGCAAAGCUGAAACUUAAAGGAAUUGACGGAAGGGCACCACCAGGAGUGGAGCCUGCGGCUUAAUUUGACUCAACACGGGAAACCUCACCAGGCCCGGACACCGGAAGGAUUGACAGAUUGAGAGCUCUUUCUUGAUUCGGUGGGUGGUGGUGCAUGGCCGUUCUUAGUUGGUGGAGCGAUUUGUCUGGU
rnacentral:rRNA from 1 species